AGUUGUCGCGGGUUUGUUUACGUAGUAAAAUUUUCGACUCGAAAAAAAUGCGGAAGUGUCUUGUUAAAUAUUGCGUUUCCAAGAAUAAACUAACAGAUUACAGUAACGAAUCCGCAUAGGCGGAGAGUUUUCCCAUCUUUUUCGUACUCGAAUCAUUCAUUUUCACUCCUAUCACUCAACAGUGAAUAGAAAAAAAUUUCAACACCUUGUAAACAAACCCGUGGGAGGUGUCAGAAAAGUGAGGUUAUUUUUCAUGUGCAAAGAUCACUGCACUGAUUUGUGUGUGUGAUAUAUUAUUCUGUUCCACCGUGGUCCCAUUGGGUCUGUUGACCGCAGGGAUACAAAAUGGGCAGAUUUGUCUCCAAAACGCACACGCUCGGCCGUUUUUACUCUAAAUUGGGUAAAUUUUGACUCAAUUUCGUCAAAAGUGGAUCUACCCUAAACAGAGUAACCAUGUAGUUACUCAUUUUUGAGUAGCAUAGAUAAAUGUCAAACACUGAGUACUACUUACUCAUUUAAAAAAAAGCAUGAAUUAGCCAAACUGAGUAACUAUUAUUUAGUUUCGUUAAUUUGACUUCCCUACGCAAAAGAAAACAUUAGGAAAUUCGGAAAUUAAAAUUUGAAAACAACAUAAGAAAAAUCGUUAAAAUAUUGCUUCACGUAAAAAAGCUACAACUCAGUAAAAGUAUCAUGGAGACAAAGCCCAGCACUAGGGAGAGCCCAAAUGUGGAUAAAUCAGCGCUGUGUUUAUUGUCCGGUGUUAGAGAGGUGCCCUCGUACCGUGGGAGGGAGCACAGCUUCGUGUAUACCACAUGAAGGAUCUGCGGAAGGCCAGACGCUAUGUCGGUUACUUCGCGGACAGUGCGUAACAGUUUGAUCAAAAAGUAGGCCGGCGGUGUGGUAGGUUUUUUCGCUGGAGGAAUGGAGACGAAACGUCUCUAAGUGACAGCUAGCAAAUUUUUGAAUAACAACAGUUCAAUUGCAUUCGCUAGGUUUGUCGGUCGCGUUUCCAUCGAAAGACCAUUAAAUACGCGUGUAACGAGAUAAUAAAGGUGAAUUUAUGAACGGUAACUAAAAUUUUAUUUUACAGGAUUUACCAUCAAAAUAGCCGUGCACAGGAUACCGUGAAUCGGGCUGAUCAGCGUAGCAAAACAGCCGCCUAACUGUUGAUUGAGAAAAAUUAGACCCCAGAAAUCUGUCCUAAAUGUUGCAUAUGUUGAUAACCUGAUAACCAAAUAAACAUAAGAUACUUGAA